rnacentral:rRNA from 1 species
AACACGUGGAUAGCCUACCCUCAGAUCUGGGAUAACUCCGGGAAACUGGAGAUAAUACCGGAUAAUCCGUGAACGCUGGAAUGCCUUACGGUUGAAAGCUUUAGCGUCUGAGGAUGGGUCUGCGGCCGAUUAGGUAGUUGCUGGGGUAACGUCCCAACAAGCCGAUAAUCGGUACGGGUUGUGAGAGCAAGAGCCCGGAGAUGGAUUCUGAGACACGAAUCCAGGUCCUACGGGGCGCAGCAGGCGCGAAAACUUUACACUGCGCGAAAGCGCGAUAAGGGGACCUCGAGUGCGUGCGCAAUGCGUACGCUUUUCAGAUGCCUAAAAAGCAUCUGGAAUAAGGGCCGGGCAAGACCGGUGCCAGCCGCCGCGGUAACACCGGCGGCUCAAGUGGUGCCGCUAUUAUUGGGCUUAAAGGGUCCGUAGCCGGACCAGUUAGUCCCUUGGGAAAUCUUACGGCUUAACCGUAAGGCUGCCAAUGGAUACUGCUGGUCUUGGGACCGGGAGAGGCAAGAGGUACCUCAGGGGUAGGAGUGAAAUCCU